rnacentral:lncRNA from 10 species
CUUAGAAGCCUUUCACAGCCUUUUCUUUACGCCUUUGACAACUUCGACACAACUUCUAGAAAAGGGGCAAAGCUGAGCCUGCUACCCCUGGGUGGAAGAAGACUGGCUGGCAUCAAAAUCAAGAGCAUUCAAGAGCUAAUAUGAAAAUAAGGCUGGAGAAGUUGUGGGAAAAGUUCCUGUGGCCAUGAGACACAGUUGUUUGAUUCUUAGCCUCUUUCUCCAAAUGAUCUAGUUUACUAAGAAGAAUUUGGGCUUCCUCUAUGGGAGACAGUAUCCCGUGGCCAUGAAAGGCUGCCAUUUUGUGGGCUGCCUACUGAGAGAGCCCCAUGAGGACAACCUCCAGCUGACAGCAAGAAACCAAGGCUCUAGUUAGAGAGCCCAUGAGAAACUGAAUCCUGCCAAUCACACGGGCUUGGGAACAAAUCCUCCUCCCAUCCAGCCUCAGCCAUGUGAAGAUGUGCCUGAUCCCUUUCCUUCUGCCACGAUUGUAAGUUUCCUAAGGCCUCCCCAGAAGC